rnacentral:tRNA from 5 species
GCGGGUAUAGUAUAGCAGCAGUACAACUCUCUUCCAAGGAGUUAGCACGGGUGCAAAUCCCGUUACCCGCUCAA